rnacentral:rRNA from 1 species
UGCCUAAUACAUGCAAGUCGAGCGAACAGAUAAGGAGCUUGCUCCUUUGACGUUAGCGGCGGACGGGUGAGUAACACGUGGGUAAUCUACCUAUAAGACUGGGAUAACUUUGGGAAACCGGAGCUAAUACCGGAUAACAUUUUGAUCCGCAUGGUUGUAAAGUGAAAGAUGGUUUUGCUAUCACUUAUAGAUGGACCCGCGCCGUAUUAGUUAGUUGGUAAGGUAACGGCUUACCAAGGCGACGAUACGUAGCCGACCUGAGAGGGUGAUCGGCCACACUGGAACUGAGACACGGUCCAGACUCCUACGGGAGGCAGCAGUAGGGAAUCUUCCGCAAUGGGCGAAAGCCUGACGGAGCAACGCCGCGUGAGUGAUGAAGGCUUUCGGCUCGUAAAACUCUGUUAUUAGGGAAGAACAAACGUGUAAGUAACUGUGCCCGUCUUGACGGUACCUAAUCAGAAAGCCACGGCUAACUACGUGCCAGCAGCCGCGGUAAUACGUAGGUGGCAAGCGUUAUCCGGAAUUAUUGGGCGUAAAGCGCGCGUAGGCGGUUUCUUAAGUCUGAUGUGAAAGCCCACGGCUCAACCGUGGAGGGUCAUUGGAAACUGGGAAACUUGAGUGCAGAAGAGGAAAGUGGAAUUCCAUGUGUAGCGGUGAAAUGCGCAGAGAUAUGGAG